GCCGGCAUAGCUCAGUUGGUAGAGCAGGGGUUUUGUAAACCUCAGGUCGGGGGUUCGAGUCUCUCUGCCGGCACCA
rnacentral:tRNA from 1 species